ACAUGAAUGCCCAGUAUGCACACAAUAUUUUGUGGUCAUGAAAGUUCCCAGGUCAUGAAAGAGUUUUAUCUUUCAAGAGCAUACUUAUGUUCAACUACCAGAAUUCAGAUUUCAGCCCAACCUCUUACAAAUGUUGGAGCACCUACAAUCUUUGUACUUUUGUCUUUCCUGCAAACUACUCCUGUAACUUUGUUCCACAAAUGUAUCUAAUAUAUUAUGAACCAUGUUAUGUUAAUAUUUAGUUUAAUCAUCUCUCCUUUAUUUGCA